UGCCAGCCGCCGCGGUAAUACGGAGGGUGCAAGCGUUGUUCGGAAUUAUUGGGCGUAAAGAGCACGUAGGCGGGUAUUCCAGUCAGGCGUGAAAGCCCCGGGCUCAACCCGGGAACUGCGCUUGAUACUGAAUACCUAGAGUCCGAGAGAGGGUGGUGGAAUUCCCAGUGUAGAGGUGAAAUUCGUAGAUAUUGGGAAGAACACCAGUGGCGAAGGCGGCCACCUGGCUCGGUACUGACGCUGAGGUGCGAAAGCGUGGGGAGCGAACAGGAUUAGAUA
rnacentral:rRNA from 1 species